rnacentral:rRNA from 1 species
GACAGGGGGUGCAAACGUUGCUCGGAAUCACUGAGCGUAAAGGGCGUGUAGGCGGGAAGGAAAGUCAGAUGUGAAAUCCCCAGGCUCAACCUGGGAACUGCAUUUGAAACUCCCUUUCUUGAGUAUCGGAGAGGAAAGCGGAAUUCCUGGUGUAGAGGUGAAAUUCGUAGAUAUCAGGAGGAACACCAGCGGCGAAGGCGGCUUUCUGGACGAUAACUGACGCUGAGACGCGAAAGCGUGGGGAGCAAACAGG